AACGCACGAGACCUGCGGACCUGCGGAGGGAUCAUUAAUGAGAAACUGCCCCUCGCGGGUAGAUCUCCCACCCUUUGUAAACUUACCUUUGUUGCUUUGGCAGGCCCGUCUCCGGACCGCCGGCUUCGGCUGGCCAGUGCCUGCCAGAGGAUUCUAAAACUCUGUCUGUCAGUGUUGUCUGAGUCUAUUUACAAUCGUUAAAACUUUUAGCAACGGAUCUCUAGAUCGGAAGAGCACACG
rnacentral:misc_RNA from 1 species